GAUGAAGAACGUAGCGAAAUGCGAUAAGUAGUGUGAAUUGCAGAAUUCAGUGAAUCAUCGAAUCUUUGAACGCACAUUGCGCCUCCUGGUAUUCCGGGAGGCAUGCCUGAUCGAGCGUCAUUAAAAUCACUCAAGCUUAGGUUUACCUAUUGCUUGGUCUUGGAGAUGGAAGCCAAUUUAUUGGAAUCCUCUUCGAAAUUCAAUGGCGAAGACCCUUGCUCUCCCAAGUGUAGUAAUAACUUAUGUCACUGAAGGAAGCGAGAAAUCUUCUGCCGUAACCCCCAUAUUUUCUAUGAUUGACCUCGGAUCAGGUAGGGAUACCCGCUGAACUUAAGCAUAUCAAUAAGCGGAGGA
rnacentral:misc_RNA from 1 species